rnacentral:rRNA from 1 species
AGCGAACGCUGGCGGCAGGCCUAACACAUGCAAGUCGAACGAAGUCUUCGGACUUAGUGGCGGACGGGUGAGUAACACGUGGGAACGUGCCUUUAGGUUCGGAAUAACUCAGGGAAACUUGUGCUAACACCGAACGUGCCCUUCGGGGGAAAGAUUUAUCGCCUUUAGAGCGGCCCGCGUCUGAUUAGCUAGUUGGGGAGGUAAAGGCUCACCAAGGCUUAGAUCAGUAGCUGGGCUGAGAGGAUGACCAGCCACAUUGGGACUGAGACACGGCCCAAACUCCUACGGGAGGCAGCAGUGGGGAAUCUUGCGCAAUGGGCGAAAGCCUGACGCAGCCAUGCCGCGUGGAUGAUGAAGGUCUUAGGAUUGUAAAAUCCUUUCACCGGUGAAGAUAAUGACUGUAGCCGGAGAAGAAGCCCCGGCUAACUUCGUGCCAGCAGCCGCCGUAAGAC